CAUUAUGGCUUCACCUCCUGAAUUACCAGCAAAGGAUUCUGACAUGCAAAUUUCUGAUCCACCUCGCUCAAAGAAAGAAUACUUUCAUCCAUGUCUACAAUAUCUGUUACAGCACAUCCUUGGCAUUAUCAUUAAAUAGGCCUUGGCCAAUAAUAUUCAACUGUGUGGUGGAGCCGGUAAAGGGAAGCAAAUUGAAAUGUGAAUUUGACCCAAAAAACAAAGUGGGUUGAUAAAGAAAAUCAGAUAAGGAAAAAGUAAAGACGGAAUCUACCUGCCUGAAUAUUCAGCUCAGAAAGCAAUACAGCACUCCAUGGACAUUUAUGCUACUUUGUUGAAAACUGAGGCAGAAAGCAUUUCGAGUAGUGAUUGAUUGGUACUGCAGCAAUUGGUCUUCGUUUGUUCUCUUCUUUACAAAGUGAAAUUAUAUAUGUAGGAAGAUUUUUAAAUUCUGAAAAUUUUGCACGAUUUUCUCAAGUAGAUACAUAUACAGGAAAUUUUUAUGUUC